UGUAUUUUGGGGUGAUACUUGGUGUUCUAAUGGUAUGAGAACAUUAAGAUCCCACUUGAUUUCUGAGUUGCCGCUUUUAUGUCAUAGCUUCUUACUCCUGAAGAUGUCCCAAACUGGGGACGAAAUAUAGAGUAUGAGAACGAA